rnacentral:rRNA from 1 species
GAUGAACGCUGGCGGCGUGCUUAACACAUGCAAGUCGAACGAUGAAGCCCAGCUUGCUGGGUGGAUUAGUGGCGAACGGGUGAGUAACACGUGAGUAACCUGCCCUUAACUCUGUGAUAAGCCUGGGAAACUGGGUCUAAUACCGGAUAGGAGCGUCCACCGCACGGUGGGUGUUGGAGAGAUUUAUCGGUGUUGGAUGUACUCGCGGCCUAUCAGCUUGUUGGUGAGGUAAUGGCUCACCAAGGCGACGACGGGUAGCCGGCCUGAGAGGGUGAGCGGCCACACUGGGACUGAGACACGGCCCAGACUCCUACGGGAGGCAGCAGUGGGGAAUAUUGCACAAUGGGCGCAAGACUGAUGCAGCGACGCCGCGUGAGGGAUGACGGCCUUCGGGUUGUAAACCUCUUUCAGUAGGGAAGAAGCGAGAGUGACGGUACCUGCAGAAGAAGCACCGGCUAACUACGUG